GAAAUUUCAUUACAAAAUUCUUGUCUUGGAUUUGUCUAAACACAGAUGUAUCAAAUCACGUUUAAUUAUUAGAUACAUCCGUAUCUAGACAAAUCUAAGACAAGAAUUUUGGGACGGAGGGAGUACUUU
rnacentral:pre_miRNA from 1 species